UACGUAGGUGGCGAGCGUUGUCCGGAUCUACUGGGCGUAAAGGGAGCGUAGGCGGACUUUUAAGUGAGAUGUGAAAUACCCGGGCUCAACUUGGGUGCUGCAUUUCAAACUGGAAGUCUAGAGUGCAGGAGAGGAGAAUGGAAUUCCUAGUGUAGCGGUGAAAUGCGUAGAGAUUAGGAAGAACACCAGUGGCGAAGGCGAUUCUCUGGACUGUAACUGACGCUGAGGCUCGAAAGCGUGGGGAGCAAACAGGAUUAGAUACCCGGGUA
rnacentral:rRNA from 1 species